AGUGAACGCUGGCGGUAGGCCUAACACAUGCAAGUCGAACGGCAGCACAGUAAGAGCUUGCUCUUACGGGUGGCGAGUGGCGGACGGGUGAGGGAUACAUCGGAAUCUACUUUUUCGUGGGGGAUAACGUAGGGAAACUUACGCUAAUACCGCAUACGACCUACGGGUGAAAGCAGGGGAUCUUCGGACCUUGCGCGAUUGAAUGAGCCGAUGUCGGAUUAGCUAGUUGGCGGGGUAAAGGCCCACCAAGGCGACGAUCCGCAGCUGGUCUGAGAGGAUGAUCAGCCACACUGGAACUGAGACACGGUCCAGACUCCUACGGGAGGCAGCAGUGGGGAAUAUUGGACAAUGGGCGCAAGCCUGAUCCAGCCAUACCGCGUGGGUGAAGAAGGCCUUCGGGUUGUAAAGCCCUUUUGUUGGGAAAGAAAAGCAGCAGGUUAAUACCCCGCUGUUCUGACGGUACCCAAAGAAUAAGCACCGGCUAACUUCGUG
rnacentral:rRNA from 1 species